UAGGGAAUUUUCGUCAACGGGGGGAACCCUGAACGAGCAAUGCCGCGUGUGUGAAGAAGGUCUUCGGAUCGUAAAGCACUGUUGUAAGUGAAGAAUGCCAUAUAGAGGAAAUGCUAUGUGGGUGACGGUAGCUUACCAGAAAGCCACGGCUAACUACGUGCCAGCAGCCGCGGUAAUACGUAGGUGGCAAGCGUUAUCCGGAAUCAUUGGGCGUAAAGGGUGCGUAGGUGGCACGAUAAGUCUGAAGUAAAAGGCAACAGCUCAACUGUUGUAUGCUUUGGAAACUGUCGAGCUAGAGUGCAGAAGAGGGCGAUGGAAUUCCAUGUGUAGCGGUAAAAUGCGUAGAUAUAUGGAGGAACACCAGUGGCGAAGGCGGUCGCCUGGUCUGUAACUGACACUGAUGCACGAAAGUGUGGGGAGCAAAUAGGAUUAGAUACC
rnacentral:rRNA from 1 species